rnacentral:lncRNA from 1 species
UUUAAUUGGAGUUAAUGAAGUUGAAGGGCUGUGAUUGCACGUGAGCAUCCUAUAACUAAGUUCCUGGAAGAGCAAAAGGGGCAUUGAUCAAAUUGGUAUUAUUCUCGUGCUCCUCUCUCUCUCUUCUAACAGACUCUCUUCUCUUCUCUUCUAUUCAAUCUCCUUCUACAUUCUUUUCUCAUCUAAAUCUGCAUGUCCUUAUGGCUAUGGCGAGUUCUUCAGUUAGUUUCCGUUAAAUGUAGUUUUAAUUUCCAUGUAGUAGAUAUCCUUGUCUCUAAUUUUCCAGUUAUAAAUCAGAAAAUCCCAA